UUUUUGAUAUGCUUGCAUGGCUGGCUCCCUGUACCUAUGUGCGGCUAACUGUCAUGCGGCUGUCUUUGCACUGUCCCUUCGAUUGUUAUUUUGGCUCGUUUGGUGGCUAUUGUAUUUGGUUGCUUGUGUGGUUUUAUCCUUGUGGGAAGCACGAUUGUCCCGUCAUUGCGUUUUCAGCUUGCUUUGUUGAUGCUAUGCAUCGACGGGUGGCCGAGGCAUUAGCGAAUUCCUUUCGUUGCAAUGUAGUUNUGACUUGUAACUGUUGUUGGAUGUUUGCUGGGUCUCAUGGAUAUCAGUCCAUAUUGAGAGGUCUGCGGGCUUUAAGCUUGUAGACCUAUGAGGUUGCCCUUGCACGUAUCAUUGUUGCUGAUGUUGCGCUGACAUGUUGUGGUUUNUACGUCAUGCUUGCGGAUCUCAUACUGGGUAUGAU
rnacentral:misc_RNA from 1 species